AUGGAAGGAGUAUCUAUGAUAUGGUUUCAAUCUUGGUGCCAAGUUGCACAGACACCUCUAGGAGUAGGCGUGUUGCAGGCAGAUCAAGUAUGUCUCAAAACUCUUGCACUUGGGAAGGUUCUAGAGAAAAUAGGGGAAGAAUGGAUAAUUCACAAAAAUAGGUGUUUGUUUGAUCUAAUGCAUCAAAGCUCAAAUGGAUCUGGUAUUUAG